AUUGAACGCUGGCGGCAGGCCUAACACAUGCAAGUCGAACGAGUGGCGGACGGGUGAGUAAUGUCUGGGAAACUGCCCGAUGGAGGGGGAUAACUACUGGAAACGGUAGCUAAUCCCGCAUACCAUCGGAUUUGCCCAGAUGGGAUUAGCUUGUAGGUGAGGUAACGGCUCACCUAGGCGACGCUCCCUAGCUGGUCUGAGAGGAUGACCAGCCACACUGGAACUGAGACACGGUCCAGACUCCUACGGGAGGCAGCAGUGGGGAAUAUUGCACAAUGGGCGAAAGCCUGAUCCAGCCAUGCCGCGUGUGUGAAGAAGGUCUUCGGAUUGUAAAGCACUUUAAGUUGGGAGGCGUGACCAACAGAAUAAGCACCGGCUAACUUCGUGCCAGCCGCCGCGGUAAUAC
rnacentral:rRNA from 1 species